CUCCCUAAACAGAUAUUUUGAGGCUGUGAGGUUGAACGUUUGAGAGUAUAUCAGUGUGUUUGUUUGUGGUCUUUCUGUUUCUAGGUGGAAGCUGAAUUAGUGAGGAUGACUCCUGCUCCUGUCAUCUCUAAGCUCCUCACACAUCUUUACCUGCACAUGAGGAAAAUCACUCCUGUAGAAUGCAGAUGUUCAGAGGGAGAUGAUGCCACAUCUGGUCCAGCUGAUGGAAGGUCUUGAAGUUCUCUGACUGGCCUCGACUGAAGAUAGUCGUCUCACUGGAUUUAAGGUUCAGAUGCUCAGUAACAAACUCCACCAAUGAGCCAACAGGGAAGCUUUAGGUUUAUUAAAUGUUGCUAUGAAGGUAUCGCUGUUUUUCUUUGUGAAUGCAAUGUGCUCCAACUGAAACUUGAAUUAGAACUUAGAAGUAAAUCCUUCCAUCUAAAAGGAUUUAGUUGCAUUAAUAACCUCAUAACAUUCUAAUUUUUAUUCCAGUCUUGGUUGGAAAUAGAAUCUCUGUAUUGAUUCAGGUAAAAACUAAACUUCACAGCAUGUUGGAGCAAAACAACCAGAUGAAAACUGUGAUGGUGUUGGAUUGUCAGACCAUAAUGUUGCAGCUCAAAGCAGCUUUUCUAGCUCAGUUCAUUCUGACAUUCAGCUAUGAAUCAACACAGCAGAUGGUGAUCCAUGCUGUGGAAGUCUCACAUCUCCUGAUUUAAUGGAGCUGCUUUGCACUUUUUACACUGUUUAUUCACCAACACUUUAUUUAAUAAAAGUCCCAUCAAGUUUUCAUGAGGAAUGUGAUGUUUUAAUUUCUCUGUGAAUAACUGCAGUCUAAUGCAACAGCUGGAGUUGUAACAUCUGUCCUGAUAUUGAUCAUGAAGUAUUGAUCAGAAUACUUACGGUCAGCAGUCAUCCCUGAAGUUUUACAUUAAAAUCUUUACCUGUAUUGUGAACUUUGGUAAGAAGCAGAAACUUUAGUGUUGCCAUGGAUACAUGAGUGUUAAAUUCUGUCCAUGUUUCCAUUUUGGGAAAUUCAGUCCAGCAGAUGAGUUUGUUUUUACUGCCAGCUACCAUUCAGUCUGAGAUAUUAAGAAUAAAUAAAUGUGCAUAAUGUGGAAAUGAACAGAUUCUAUUUUUAUUUAUUCCUCCAGCUGCUGCAUGGAAAGAGAAUAUGGAGGAAUUUAGUCUCACAAUCACAGACAAAUAUUAUCUGAAAGUCGGGUUAUUGUUUAUCAGCACAAUACAAAAAGAUUCAUGUUAGACAUAUUCCAGUUAAGAUUCUACAGUAUCAUGAUUUAUGUAAAUUUACCUCAAUAAUAUGAAUGUUCAGGUUAAGAUUGUACAGUGAUAUUUAUUAUGUAAGUUUAGCUGAUUAAAGUUUAUGAAUCUGCACUACAAUAUUAUUUAUUAUUUAAAUUGACAUCAUUAUUAUAAUAUUUAGGGUCAGACCCUACAGUAAUGAGAUUAAGAAAUCAAAUAUUCUAUCAAUGUAAAUACACUGAACCCAUUUGGAUAUAUUUAAGUGAGACUCUACAAUAUUAUUUGACACAAAUCUAUCUAAAUCAAAAUUUUAAGUAUUUUUACUCCAAAUAUUUACUGGACUGAUUUAAACAUUAAAAUUACUCCUUUCUAAUCCUCUGCUGUAUGUUCAAACCUGAGGCCUUAAAUAGAAACACACAAGUAUCUGAUUGAAGGAACUUCUGCAGAGUCCUGGUUCCAGAACAUGAUGAUAAAAUUAUAGACAAACUUCAACAAAAGCUGCCUGAGAGUUUACAGGUUUUUAUGUUAGAUUUCUUCAGUAAUUUAAUGAGCGUUAUCAGCAAUAAUCAAGUGUUCAUUUGAUGAACUUCAUUUCCUAAAACAUCCAGAAUUGGAGCUCAUAUCUUUGGCAGCUGUAAAGUUUCUGCUCCUUCAAAGUUCACAACACAAUGAAUGAAUUCCUAAAACACUCUCAAUGCUGGAGAGCGUUUGUGAUGCUGAAGCAGUGACCAGUUUUUCUGUUUCUUCUCUGGAGAUGCACAAUGAGGGACGUCUGCAGCGACUGAGAAAGAGUCUCACCACAUCCUGACAUGAGGAAAAAGACUUUAUUGAAGACUACAAUGAGAAAAACUAUCAGACAGCAGACGGCUGCAUUCAAGUCUGUAGCUGCUGAAUUCAUGGAUGAAUCAUCUGGCACUAGAGAGGAAGACCAUCAAACAUCCACGUCAGCUGAUGGAGGUCCAAGAGUCUCACCAAACAACCAACCUACAGAGUGAAGACCUCGAAUCUGAUUGGACGGCCUCCUAUUCAGCCACAUUUUAGGCUGUUAGAUUGUUCCAGAUAAGACAAGUACAAGAUUCUUCAGAGCCGUUCUACCACGAGCCUGACAGGAAGAACUCCAACAGCUACUGAAUGUUCCUGUGGUCCCCUCAAGGCUACAGGAGGAGCCCUAUGAGGACGAGCCGGUCCACCUGAUGGCGGCCAGUCGCUGCGGUUCAAAGCCAACACCGACUACGUGGACUUCUACUGGACCACACGGAGGCCUUCAAACCGGACCAACAAGUUCAGGGACUCCCCGACU